CAUAACAACCCUAUUUUGGAAUUAUUUCAACCCCUUUGUGGCACGUGAACGGGUCGCGUAGUCGUGACCGAAUUUUACGGAAAUUACUUUUUUUAUGGUAAUAAACGAAAUGAAAGAGUAGGAUAUUAAAAAUUUGAAAGUUUAAAAGUAAGGACCGUCCUAAUAUGUAUCUUGUCCGUUUGCGAGAUUUCCCAUCCGUUUGUUCAUAUUGUUUUCCGCGAUUUGUUUUCUACGUGUGUAACACUGUUAUAAUAUCGUUCGUCCGACGGUGCAUUGGAAAGUUUAUUCAUUUGACACCCUCGAGUGAAGAUUUUCCAUAACGAUAGUAAUAAUAUAAAAAAACCCUACGGGAAUACGUUAUCAAAGUCGGUUAUCAAAUUACUAUAUUGCUGCUAACGAGACAGAAACUCAACCGUUUGAUAUUAAGAAUAAUAUACUAUUAUCGUACCGUCUUCGUCGAAGGUACAUGGUAUUACACCGUGCAUAAACUGAUAUAAACCCAAUAUAAUAACCGUCGUGAAUAACUGCCGGAGAAGUCAAAAUAAAUAUUAAAUUGCGGUCUAUGUGCUCUAAAGUCUAAAUCCUUUAAACUCGAUAAAUAUCAA